GCACCACAAGGGGUGAAGCCUGCGGUUCAAUUGGAGUCAACGCCCGAAAACUUACCAAGGCUGACAGCAGAAUGAAGGCCAGACUAAAGAUCUUGCUAGACAAGCUGAGAGGUGGCGCAUGGCCGUCGCCAGUUCGUGCCGUGAGGUGUCCUGUUAAGUCAGGCAACGAACGAGACCCUCACUGUUGGUUGCCAGCGGAUUCCUACGGAAUGCCGAGCACACUAAUGGGACUGCCAUCGAUAAGAUGGAGGAAGGAGAGGGCCACGGCAGGUCAGUAUGCCCCGAAUGCCUUGGGCCACACGCGGGCUGCAAUGGUAGGUACGGAGGGUUCUGACCUCGAAAGAGGAAAGUAAGCCCUAAACCCUAUCGUAGUUGGGAUUGAGGGCUGAAACCCGCCCUCAUGAACAUGGAAUCCCUAGUAAUCGCGCGUCAUUAUCGCGCGGUGAAUACGUCCCCGCUCCUUGCACACACCGCCCGUCGCUCCAUCCAAGUCAAGUUUAGAUGAGGCGCAGUCUUCUUUGGCUAUGUCGAAUCUUGGCUCGGUGAGGGGGGAG
rnacentral:rRNA from 1 species